GGCUAGUUAGCAAAGUUGGUCUAUGCAGUGGACUGAAACUCCAUAGAUUCUCGUUCGAAUCGAGGACUAGCCACCA
rnacentral:tRNA from 4 species